GAUGAACGCUAGCGGCAGGCUUAACACAUGCAAGUCGAGGGGUAGUGGGAGCUUGCUUCCACGAGACCGGCGCACGGGUGCGUAACGCGUAUGCAAUCUGCCUCUCACUGGGGAAUAGCCCGGAGAAAUCCGGAUUAAUGCCCCAUGGUAUUUUUGAAUGGCAUCAUUCGACUAUUAAAGAUUUAUCGGUGAGAGAUGAGCAUGCGUCCCAUUAGUUAGUUGGUAAGGUAACGGCUUACCAAGACGAUGAUGGGUAGGGGUCCUGAGAGGGAGAUCCCCCACACUGGUACUGAGCCACGGACCAGACUCCUACGGGAGGCAGCAGUGAGGAAUAUUGGUCAAUGGCGCAAGCCUGAACCAGCCAUGCCGCGUGCAGGACGACGGCCCUAUGGGUUGUAAACUGCUUUUGUACGGGAAGAAACAGCGAUUCGUGAAUCGCCUUGACGGUACCGUAAGAAUAAGGAUCGGCUAACUCCGUGCCAGCAGCCGCGGUAA
rnacentral:rRNA from 1 species